rnacentral:tRNA from 1 species
AAUGAGAUGCCUGAGAGUUUAAGGGGUACUUUGAUAUGGUAUAGACGGAGAAAUCUCCUCUCAUUU